CGCGUAGGCGGCUUUAUAAGUCUGGAGUGAAAGUCCUCUUUUCAAGGGAGGAAUUGCUUUGGAAACUAUAGAGCUUGAGUGCAGGAGAGGUUAUCGGAAUUUCCGGUGUAGCGGUGAAAUGCGUAGAUAUCGGGAGGAACAUCGGUGGCGAAGGCGGGUAACUGGACUGCAACUGACGCUGAGGCGCGAAAGUGUGGGGAGCAAACA
rnacentral:rRNA from 1 species